rnacentral:lncRNA from 1 species
UCUCAACAUGUACCCUGGCUGGCCCAGAACUCACUAUGUAGUCUAGACUGGUCUUGAACUCACAGAUCCACCUUCAAGUGCUGGGAUUGAAGGCAUGUGCCACCAUAUCCAAGCCAACUGUUGUCUUCUUUCUCUGUUUUAAGACCUUGACUUGCGUCCUUUGUUUACUGGUGUGUGUGUGUGGUGCUUGCUCUCCAUCACUAGAGCCAGAGCUUGGGUCCCCUGUUAGCUAGGAGCUAGGGUCCUGCUCUGUCACCAGCAGACACUGAAACAGAUUGCACGAGUAGUCUGUGAUUCUCAACUCUGCAGACCUGGAUCAUAGCGCGGCCCACCUCUCCAGAGCCUUUGAGGACGGAAACAGGUAAUCAUAGAAAGAGCUUGCUUAUAGGAAUAAGAGCUUGAGUCAGCGUACUCGCUAAAAUGGUCCAAGGUCACACAGCAGUAGAUGUUAACAACUAAUCGGUAUAAUUAACUGGAUAAGAAUGAGUGAGAAAAACAUGUGGCUGUUUUUCCUGGGAGCAUGGAAAUUAACUGUGGCAGAAUAGGCUGCUGUGUUGCCCAAGACACAACACAAAGGAAACCAUGAAGAUUUUAGAUUUCACAAUCACAAUGUCCGAUUCACAGCUGCACUUGUUAUUAGCUGAGUAGCCUUGAGUAAAGCACUUAGCCCCCUGAGCCUUCGAUUCCCCUCAGAAGGCCAGGUGCCAGAGACAGGAGUGAACAGGACGGUCAUGGCCCCUUCCAUCAUGAAGCAGCAUUCUCACGAGACUGAUGGGAAUUCUACUAAGAGGGAAGCACACCUCAGAACAGGAGCAUCACUAACUGGGAAGAAAGUACAGCAGAUGGUAAUAGGGUGUGCUUCCUGAGUUUAGUCAUGCGCACAGAGGGCUGAAAAGAACUGAAGUAGGCCACGUAGGAUGAUGGGAAACAAGUGCUGAAACCUAGGACUGGAUGGCUCCCUUUAAUCAAGCACCCAGAGUGGGGCUGGAACCCAGAUCCAAAAGGAGAAUGGAGUGAGACUGGCCAUGGGGUGGACAGGGUCAGAUGUGUCUGGGCUACAAGGCCCCAGGGGGAAUUCAGCUUUAUUUGGUGUGCAUUUAAAUGACUUCCCUUGCUGCUGUGUGAGAGUACAUGAGAGAGAAGGGAUCUAAACAGAUGGUGCUGAUCUAGGCCAGCAUGACAUCAGUGCAAAUAGAGUAUGUUGGAAGUAGAUCCCACCGGAUCUGCUUGUGGGCUUAUUGUGAGCAUGGAUGGGGGGGGGGAUAACCAAGAGAAACCCGCAGGCUUUUGUUGAACAGUUAAUUGUGUGGCUUUGCAGUCACUCAAUUGGAAACCCUCACUGUAAAGAAUAAUUUGUAUUAGUGUACUUUGGGGCACAUCAUCCAGUCUUCCCUUUUGGGCAGACAUUUUUGAGAUAUCCACCUGCACACUGAAGACUUGAAUUCAGAAGGCUGGAUGGGGCUGGAAAUACAUGUUAGGCUUCACAUACAAGUGACGAUGUAAACACAGUUCUCUAGGAACUGUGUGGACAACUUAGGAACAGAUGUGACACAGAGCCCACCUCGAAGCUCAGUCUACACUGAACACAAUGUGUUCCUCAUGAAAAGAAUUUUAAUGACCUCACCAUCUUCAGACAACAUUCUCUGCGUCUUACCUGUAUAUGAGGUCAGGGGUAAUAUGUGAUUAAAGAUUUUCUCAGGAAAGUAUGUUAGGAACAAAGGAGGAGACGGAGAAAGCAAAAUAUGGACAGAGCAGGUCCUGAGGUUGGUUCCUGUUAGCUACUUUGGCUCCCUGACGGGAAAUAAUGUCUCCUUUCAGAUAUCUAGAGGCCACUGCUUGCAGAUUCUUGCCCAUCGGGUACAAGGGUUGGAGUCUCAUGGCCAGCAUGCAUUGUAGGCUUGACCUUCCUGAGUCACGAGAGAGGCGCAGAGCUGCAUGCUGUCUUACCGUACAGAUGGGCUCACUGCCUCACUGAGCAGGUACACAGAACAUGGAGCCCCUCCCAUGCCAGGCAGAUGGUGCAGAUGCUGGGUCGUUGAACCCCAGCCACAGCACACUCUUGUUACUUUAUUGGAAGAGAGAGCAUCCUUCAAAGAUUUGCUUCCUGAGUCCAGUGAAGCAGCUUGUUUGGAAGAUGUGCCAGCUGAGAGUUUCUGACUCUUGGUAGGUAAACACCAAACCACAGAGUUAGAAAAUGUCAUGAACCUGGAACAGUAUAAAUCAAAGGGAAGACUGCAUUGUAAAACUAUUGAAGAUCUGCAACCAAGAUACCCAGGCUAAAGCCUCCUAACUAGAGCGUAGACACCUCUUGCGCUUGUGAUGUGGCUCCCAGUGGUCCUUCCUGCCUCCUGGAAAUCGCACCUUCGGUGAUUCUGACACCUGGAAUCUCACUGCUCAUUUGCUUCUAACAGUAUCACAAAAGCAACAAGUGGCACUUGUGUGGUUAGGUUUACAAAGACUGGGACUUCACUUAAAGAGGGCCCUGCAUUCUGGAUAAGUAUGGAGCUGGGCCCUUCCAUUCCAGCUUUCAAUGACUCUGAAACAGACCCCGAGCUAGACAACCAGCAGAAGUCUGUUGCAUGCUCAUCCUCAGAAAGUGACCACCGUGUGUGCUUCCAGUGUGUUCCAAGGUGAUUUGUUCUGCAGUGAUAAGAAUCACAUAACAGAAAACAUGUUUGUUCUCAGGAUGAGGUGUGAGAAAUAAUGGCUAACUUAGCAACAGAAAGGUGAAAAGUGAGAAAGUCGAAUCUUGUCUUUGAAGACAAACCAAAAGUAAACCACCAACCUAGCUCUCUCUCUCUUUGCUCCCCACAAAGAGAAUCUUUCCGCUAAAGAAGAGAGGAUAAAGGUUAUCUUGCAAAAAUGAAAAACAAAUUAGAGGGAAUUUUUCACUGCUAGACUUGGACUGAAGGCCUUUCCUUGGGAAUGGUAAGAUCAGCAGGCAAAAGAAAAUCCGUGAGGUUGGAGGGUGAAGAGUGCAGUCACCGAGGCUGACCCAGCUUGGAAAGUGACACAGCCGUCCCCAUCCAGAACCACGGCAGACACUCUCAGAGCACACACAGAGUGCACAGAGCACACACAGAGUGCACAGAGCACACACAGAGUGCUCAGAGCACACACAGAGUGCACAGAGCACACACAGAGUGCUCAGAGCACACACAGAGUGAGCUGUUUACAGUAAUGAAUCUCUCACUGUGUCCCCAGGCAGCUCAGCAAACUCAGGGGCUGGUAGUUAUACAUUACACACUCUCUGGUCACAGUGUAACCGAGCUACCUAUCAAAGCCAAGAAGGUGCCUUGAAAGUCCCCUGACGUGAAGAAAUUAAAUAAAGAAAUGGUGUGGAGUGGAAGGUUUUAGAAACUGCUGUAUUCUCGAGUCUGUGGGCUAUAGCAAAGGUGAACGGGCAGAUGAAUCUCUUCAGUGCACAUACAAGCAGCCAUAUCGGGUGGAAAGGAUGAGAAAGUAAACUUAGAAGUUGAGGUAGGAAGCUGAGAACAGAGCAGAGUUAAACAGGAAGCAAACGGGACAAAAGUGAUGAGGCCAAAAUGUGCUUCUUUGGGAAAUGUGUUAAAUCAAUAAAGCUGUUAGAAACACA